rnacentral:rRNA from 1 species
UACGAAGGGGGCUAGCGUUGCUCGGAAUCACUGGGCGUAAAGCGCACGUAGGCGGCUUUCUAAGUCAGGGGUGAAAUCCUGGAGCUCAACUCCAGAACUGCCUUUGAUACUGGAGAGCUUGAGUCCGGAAGAGGUGAGUGGAACUCCGAGUGUAGAGGUGAAAUCCGUAGAUAUUCGGAAGAACACCAGUGGCGAAGGCGGCUCACUGGUCCGGUACUGACGCUGAUGUGCGAAAGCGUGGGGAGCAAACAGG